rnacentral:rRNA from 1 species
GAGUUUGAUCGUGGCUCAGAUUGAACGCUGGUGGCAGGCCUAACACAUGCAAGUCGAGCGGAUGACGGGAGCUUGCUCCUUGAUUCAGCGGCGGACGGGUGAGUAAUGCCUAGGAAUCUGCCUGGUAGUGGGGGACAACGUUUCGAAAGGAACGCUAAUACCGCAUACGUCCUACGGGAGAAAGCAGGGGACCUUCGGGCCUUGCGCUAUCAGAUGAGCCUAGGUCGGAUUAGCUAGUUGGUGGGGUAAUGGCUCACCAAGGCGACGAUCCGUAACUGGUCUGAGAGGAUGAUCAGUCACACUGGAACUGAGACACGGUCCAGACUCCUACGGGAGGCAGCAGUGGGGAAUAUUGGACAAUGGGCGAAAGCCUGAUCCAGCCAUGCCGCGUGUGUGAAGAAGGUCUUCGGAUUGUAAAGCACUUUAAGUUGGGAGGAAGGGCAGUAAGUUAAUACCUUGCUGUUUGACGUUACGACAGAUAAGCACGGCUAACUCUGUG